rnacentral:rRNA from 1 species
AAAGGUAAGCUACUAAGAGCGAAUGGUGGAUGCCUUGACUGGUAGAGGCGAUGAAGGACGUACUAGACUGCGAUAAGCUAGGUGGAGCUGUCAAGAAGCUUUGAUGCCUAGAUUUCCGAAUGGGGCAACCCAAUGUAUAGAGAUAUACAUUACCAUAAUGGAG